UUUACGAUGCAUUUAGAAUGAAAGUACAUUUUUGCCCUAACAUAUACCUGGUGUGGAAUGACCUCAAACAAUUGUGAUAAGACAGUGACUAAGGAGUAUACAAAGGAGGGGGCUGGCAGUCGGAAGAAUGAGUAGACUCUUGAGGGACCAGUUAGGGGAAAGUGGCAUAAGAGAGACAGGAAACAACUCAAUGAUAAGAAAAGAAAAAGGCAUCAAGAGGAAAAACAAAAUAUCGAACCACACAUGAAAGAAUUAAAUCAGCCUUCCCACUGAUAAUAUGAGAGAGGGCUUUUGUGAACGACUUGUGCUUGCUCAAAAUAUAAUUCUUGAAGGUUUAGUGUUCUUUCUCACCUCUAUACUUCAAAUGCAUGGCUUCUUCUAUUCAAUGCUGAUUCCAUCCUUGUCUCUCUACAGAAUAUCUGUUUUCCUUGAAGGCCUGGUGUACCACCCUCUCCUCAAUGAAGCCUUCAUUCAUUUGCCGCCUUCACCUUGUACCACAGCAAAGGGAUCAUGCAAUGAUUUAACAACAGCUGUUUUGAAGGAAUACAGAGAAUGUGGAUUUUCCUUGUGCCAAGUUGUUCUUCGAUCCCUUUGCCAAGCUUCGUUUCUAAUUAACCCAAGAAGCUAUACCUGGCAUUUCAGCAGCUGACUCCAUGUCAUACAAGAUCUUGAAACAGUGACCUGGACACCAUGAGUUCCUAGCCCAGCUGGUUCAGAAUGAUUAAAGUUUACAAUUCAUAUGACAUUGUUCCGAAUACCAAAAUGUUUAAUAUGAUGCUGUUUUAAAAACUGUCUAGAUGUGGACAGAUAUGGAUUGCUCAUUUCUCCAUUUCAUGAAAAUAUAAUCUGAAGCAAGUUUUAAAGAAACUGUAGACCUUAGACUGAGAUCAGCAUAUUCUUUCUAACUUCAGUACUGAUCAGAACAUGACCUUGGACUGGCCUCACUGCCAGAGUGAAGGCCCUUUCUGGGCUGUCCUUUCUGUAGUUAAAAGUACUUAUAGAAUUAACAGAAUAAGCAUUUCCUGCCAGAGGCUUUUCUGUAGCAGUUUUUUUUUUUUUUUUCAAUUAAAG
rnacentral:lncRNA from 1 species